UCUCAAAGAUUAAGCCAUGCAUGUCUAAGUAUAAGCAAUUAUACCGCGAAACUGCGAAUGGCUCAUUAUAUAAGUUAUCGUUUAUUUGAUAGUACCUUACUACUUGGAUAACCGUGGUAAUUCUAGAGCUAAUACAUGCUAAAAAUCCCGACUUCGGAAGGGAUGUAUUUAUUAGAUUAAAAACCAAUGCCCUUCGGGGCUCACUGGUGAUUCAUGAUAACUCCUCGAAUCGCAUGGCCUUGUGCCGGCGAUGGUUCAUUCAAAUUUCUUCCCUAUCAACUUUCGAUGUUUGGGUAUUGGCCAAACAUGGUUGCAACGGGUAACGGAGGGUUAGGGCUCGACCCCGGAGAAGGAGCCUGAGAAACGGCUACUACAUCCAAGGAAGGCAGCAGGCGCGCAAAUUACCCAAUCCCGACACGGGGAGGUAGUGACAAUAAAUACUGAUACAGGGCUCUUUUGGGUCUUGUAAUUGGAAUGAGUACAAUUUAAAUCCCUUAACGAGGAACAAUUGGAGGGCAAGUCUGGUGCCAGCAGCCGCGGUAAUUCCAGCUCCAAUAGCGUAUAUUAAAGUUGUUGUGGUUAAAAAGCUCGUAGUUGAACCUUGGGCCUGGCUGGCCGGUCCGCCUCACCGCGUGUACUGGUCCGGCCGGGCCUUUCCCUCUGUGGAACCCCAUGCCCUUCACUGGGUGUGGCGGGGAAACAGGACUUUUACUGUGAAAAAAUUAGAGUGCUCCAGGCAGGCCUAUGCUCGAAUACAUUAGCAUGGAAUAAUAGAAUAGGACGUGUGGUUCUAUUUUGUUGGUUUCUAGGACCGCCGUAAUGAUUAAUAGGGACA
rnacentral:rRNA from 1 species